rnacentral:rRNA from 1 species
AUUGAACCCUGGCGGAAUGCUUUACACAUGCAAGUCGAGCGGCAGCGCGGGGCAACCUGGCGGCGAGCGGCGAACGGGUGAGUAAUGCAUCGGAACAUGUCCAUGUCGUGGGGGAUAGCCCGGCGAAAGCCGGAUUAAUACCGCAUACGCUCGAGAGAGGAAAGCCGGGGACCGCAAGGCCUGGCGCGAUUGGGUUGGCCGAUGUCCGAUUAGCUAGUUGGUGAGGUAAAGGCUUACCAAGGCGAUGAUCGGUAGCUGGUCUGAGAGGAUGAUCAGCCACACUGGGACUGAGGCACGGCCCAGACUCCUACGGGAGGCAGCAGUGGGGAAUUUUGGACAAUGGGGGCAACCCUGAUCCAGCCAUUCCGCGUGAGUGAAGAAGGCCUUCGGGUUGUAAAGCUCUUUUGUCCGGAGCGAAACGGGCGCGGCUAAUACCUGCGUCUACUGACGGUACCGGAAGAAUAAGUACCGGCUAACUACGUGCCAGCAGCCGCAGUAACAC